CACGUAGGGUGCGAGCGUUGUCCGGAAUUAUUGGGCGUAAAGAGCUCGUAGGCGGUGUGUCGCGUCGGCCGUGAAAACCUGCAGCUUAACUGUGGGCUUGCGGUCGAUACGGGCAUCACUGGAGUUCGGCAGGGGAGACUGGAAUUCCUGGUGUAGCGGUGAAAUGCGCAGAUAUCAGGAGGAACACCGGUGGCGAAGGCGGGUCUCUGGGCCGAUACUGACGCUGAGACGCGAAAGCGUGGGGAGCGAACGGG
rnacentral:rRNA from 1 species